rnacentral:rRNA from 1 species
UACGUAGGGUGCAAGCGUUAAUCGGAAUUACUGGGCGUAAAGCGUGCGCAGGCGGUGAUGUAAGACAGAUGUGAAAUCCCCGGGCUCAACCUGGGAACUGCAUUUGUGACUGCAUCGCUGGAGUACGGCAGAGGGGGAUGGAAUUCCGCGUGUAGCAGUGAAAUGCGUAGAUAUGCGGAGGAACACCGAUGGCGAACGGCAAUCCCCUGGGCCUGUACUGACGCUCAUGCACGAAAGCGUGGGGAGCGAACGGG